AAAAGCGUCGGGGAGAGCGGCGUCGUGUCGUUGCGCACCAUGGGCGGAGGGGAGGAGUCUGGGUGUGUGAAUCACGUGGGACUUUCAAACGCGGAGAAGCCCAGCAACUGCAGUGAUUUCACAGACGUGCUCACCCCAGCCAGCAGUGUCUUGAGAAGCUACAGACUCCAUGGCCAAGGAAUGAACCAUCCUAGACUAUCCCAAGUUGGAAGGGAUCCACAAGGAUCAUCGAGUCCAACUCCUGAUGCCACACAGGACCAUCCAAACCCUAUGCCUGAGAGCACUGUCCAAACACUCCAACUCCAGCAGUUUUUGUUUCUUACAGCAUCACAUCUUGCUUUGAUG
rnacentral:lncRNA from 1 species